rnacentral:rRNA from 1 species
CGGAAGGAUCAUUACCUAGAGUUGUAGGCUUUGCCUGCUAUCUCUUACCCAUGUCUUUUGAGUACCUUACGUUUCCUCGGUGGGUUCGCCCACCGAUUGGACAAAUUUAAACCCUUUGCAGUUGAAAUCAGCGUCUGAAAAAACUUAAUAGUUACAACUUUCAACAACGGAUCUCUUGGUUCUGGCAUCGAUGAAGAACGCAGCGAAAUGCGAUAAGUAGUGUGAAUUGCAGAAUUCAGUGAAUCAUCGAAUCUUUGAACGCACAUUGCGCCCCUUGGUAUUCCAUGGGGCAUGCCUGUUCGAGCGUCAUUUGUACCUUCAAGCUCUGCUUGGUGUUGGGUGUUUGUCUCCUGUAGACUCGCCUCAAAACAAUUGGCAGCCGGCGUAUUGAUUUCGGAGCGCAGUACAUCUCGCGCUUUGCACUCAUAACGACGACAUCCAAAAGUACAUUUUUACACUCUUGACCUCGGAUCAGGUAGGGAUACCCGCUGAACUUAAGCAUAUCAAUAA